UACGGGGGGAGCAAGCGUUGUUCGGAAUUACUGGGCGUAAAGGGCUCGUAGGCGGCCAACUAAGUCAGACGUGAAAUCCCUCGGCUUAACCGGGGAACUGCGUCUGAUACUGGAUGGCUUGAGUUCGGGAGAGGGAUGCGGAAUUCCAGGUGUAGCGGUGAAAUGCGUAGAGAUCCGGAGGAACACCAGUGGCGAAAGCGGCCACCUGGACUGCACCUGACGCUGAAACGCGAAAGCUAGGGGAGCGAACGGG
rnacentral:rRNA from 1 species